UGUGUACAAAAAUAGCUGUGGAUAAUACACACCCCUUGAAACAUCCUGGCUUAUGAAAACCAUGCUGUAUCGACCCUCAGACAGAUCAUAGGAGGAAGACAUCGGGCUGGCUAGUAAGAGGACCUGGGGAGAAGGAAUGGGCUCUAAGCCCCCAGGCAGGACUCUGAGGGAGAGCAGUUUCUCAGAGAUUUGGCCUCGCAGGGCCUCUGCAAGCCGUGAGUGGUUGGAGGGAACUUGGAUAGUUGCUUAACAUUUUGUCAGCUGGUGGCCGGCCCUGCUCAGCAGCAAUGAGAACCAGCAGUGGUGGUGGUGGUGGAACCACCAGCUGGCAGUCAUUGAAUAAGGGCCUGACUCAUGGACCUCCACAGCCAUGUCCUUGGUGAGCAGCAGCCUGCCCCACAAGGUUGGGAGCCAUCCCAAAGGAAGCUGGCCUGAAAGAGCCCUCAGCAGGACCUUGACUCGUCUCUGCACUUCUGCAGACAGGUGGAAGGAGCUUUCCAAGUGCAACAACUAUCCCAGGAAGAGGUGUCUACUGGAAACACAUCUUGUGCAUGUGGAGAGAAAUGGCUUGGCCUUUGCACACAGCAUCCAUAUUUCUGCCUGGCGGGUGACUGCUGCAUUACAAGUGGAAAAUAUCUGAAGCAGCUUAACAAAUGACUGCUAAGAGACCUUCUGAGGAGGACUGGACCUUUACGAAGCUGCCUUUUGCAAAAAUAUGAUGAAAACAAUUUAUAUCUACUUUUAUAGUAUGUAUGUAUAGCUGUGCUUUAAGGGCUUCAAAAUGAUACACAAAGUUUUCAUCCUGAGUGCAUUUGUAAUCAAAAGCCUAUAGCAUACAUGUACAUUUAUUUGGAAAAGUUAUACUAGAAUAAUUGUUACUGUGGCUGACAGAUGAUGCUAGCGUAGGUCAGUUUUUUCCAUACAUUUGCUCUCAUUUUGUUCAUUUUGUUUGUUUGUUUCUUUCUUUCUUUCUUUGGCCUUCUUCUCUUACCCCACCAUUAUUCUUAGGCCAACAUGCAAUGUUUCUCAGUGCUACCAUUGCUCACACUUUUGCUUCCCUUUUACAACAAUUUUUGGUACUCCCAACAUGUGUCAUGCUCCUGGAAUAUCUGUUCCAGCGGGAGUCUGAAGAAAUUAUGUUUCAAAAAAUGUGUUUCAAACCACCAGGUGACCCAGAUAUUUCAAGUUUAAGCAAAACCUUUCAGGUCAAAGAUGACCAUUGCAUAUCUCUCUGGUGCAUUUAGAAUCUCUCCAACACAAAGGGUUUCUCUCUUCCAGAUUGUGAGUUUCUGGCUUUGUCUUGCAAGCCUGUGGAGUUGGCAUAUGUGCACACUUUGCUUACUAGUGCCCCAUAUUUGUGCCACAGUUGGAGCUUAGAUCCUGUGACUUGGCAGAGAGAAGUGCCAUGUGGUGUUCUAAAGAAGGGGGAGAGGAUCUCACCCUCACCCCAAAACAGGCCCCAGACAGACAGCAAACCAAACUCCAUUCAGUACUAGAAAAGGGGAAUACCAAGGUGACGAAGGUGAAGCCAUGUGCAUUCUUGGUAUGUUUGGCUCAUGCUUGACUCCAUGUUUAUCUCUUUUUAUAGUGUUACUUAUCAUCACCCUUGAUUUUUGUUUGAUGAAUAUUCAUUAAACACAGUUUUCAGAAUACAA